rnacentral:misc_RNA from 1 species
GCCUCCGCUUUUCUUUAAGGACUCAGCUUCUGAAGAUGAAGUGCUGCCCACAUCAGAAGUCCCCUUACCUGAACAAAGCUGUUGCCCAGUAGCAGUGUGCUUUUGUUUCUCCAUUUUAGCUUCAGAUGAUGGUUUGUUUUCAGGGAGCACACUCAUGAGUGUUUCCUUUUGCUUUAAUGUGCAACUUUUCUGCUUCACAGUUUCCAGAUAUCGAAGCACCUCUGGCUUGGAAUAGAAUUUGCAGCCAGUAGAAAUAUCAACAUAACACUUGUAUAUUUUUCCGCUUGCAAAGCCACUUUGUCUGGUUCUCAACUCCACAA